ensembl:miRNA
AUUUAUGUAUAGGCCUUUAGAUCCAUCUGAGGUUGAAUACUCUUUAAGUGAUCUAAAGGCCUACACAUAAA